AUGGGGAUGGGAACAGCUCAAACAUUGACCCAAAUCCUGACUCUUGGCCCCAAAUUGAGACCCUUGGAUUUCUUCAUCCGCUUCCUCCUGCUCCUGCUGGUUCUGCCAGGGCUCCGGGCGGCCGUGACCCUGCUGGAGUCCGGGGGGGACCUCCAGCCCCCCGGGGGGUCCCUGACCUUGCUGUGCCGCGCCUCCGGGUCCACUUUGGCCGAUCACGACAUGUUCUGGAUCCGCCAGAGACCCGGGCAGGGGCUGGAGUGGGUCGGGAGUGUCCGGACGGAAGGCUGGAGCUCUGCGUGCGCGCCCUCGGUGCGGGGCCGGGUCAGGAUCUCCAGGGACAACGGGCAGAGCUCGGUGACGCUGACCAUGAACAACCUCAAGGACGAGGAUUCCGGAUCCUAUUUCUGCGCCAAAUCUGCUUUUGGUGGUAACAGUGGUGUUGCCCUCCCCCGGCCCUGA